rnacentral:rRNA from 1 species
GACGAACGCUGGCGGCGUGCUUAACACAUGCAAGUCGAACGAUGAACCCGGAGCUUGCUCCGGUGGAUUAGUGGCGAACGGGUGAGUAACACGUGAGUAACCUGCCCUUGACUCUGGGAUAACUGCGGGAAACUGUAGCUAAUACCGGAUACGACCCUCGGCGGCAUCGCCAGGGGGUGGAAAGAAUUUCGGUCAAGGAUGGACUCGCGGCCUAUCAGCUAGUUGGUGAGGUGACGGCUCAACAAGGCGACGACGGGUAGCCGGCCUGAGAGGGUGACCGGCCACACUGGGACUGGGACACGGCCCAGACUCCUACGGGAGGCAGCAGUGGGGAAUAUUGCACAAGGGGCGCAAGCCUGAUGCAGCGACGCCGCGUGAGGGAUGACGGCCUUCGGGUUGUAAACCUCUUUCAGCACCGACGAAGCGCAAGUGACGGUAGGUGCAGAAGAAGGACCGGCCAACUACGUGCCAGCCGCCGCCGCUG